rnacentral:tRNA from 1 species
GCGGCUGUGACUCAGCGGUUAGAGUGUAAGCGUGUCAAGCUUAAAGCCACGGGUUCAAAUCCCGUUAGCCGCGC